rnacentral:rRNA from 1 species
UACGAAGGGGGCUAGCGUUGCUCGGAAUUACUGGGCGUAAAGGGCGCGUAGGCGGCACUGUUAGUCAGGCGUGAAAGUCCUGGGCUCAACCUGGGAACUGCGCUUGAUACGGCAGAGCUAGAGGAUGGAAGAGGCUCGCGGAAUUCCCAGUGUAGAGGUGAAAUUCGUAGAUAUUGGGAAGAACACCGGUGGCGAAGGCGGCGAGCUGGUCCAUUACUGACGCGAGGCGCGACAGCGUGGGGAGCAAACAGG